AUUGAACGCUGGCGGCAGGCCUAACACAUGCAAGUCGAGCGGAUGACGGGAGCUUGCUCCUUGAUUCAGCGGCGGACGGGUGAGUAAUGCCUAGGAAUCUGCCUGGUUGGGGGGGACAACGUUUCGAAAGGAACGCUAAUACCGCAUAAGUCCUACGGGAGAAAGCAGGGGACAUUCGGGCCUUGCGCGAUCAGAGGAGCUUGGGUCGGAUUAUCUAGUUGGUGGGGUAAUGGCUCACCAAGUCGACGAUCCGUAACUGGUCUGAGAGGAUGAUCAGUCACACUGGAACUGAGACACGGUCCAGACUCCUACGGUAGGCAGCAGUGGGGAAUAUUGGACAAUGGGCGAAAGCCUGAUCCAGCCAUGCCGCGUGUGUGAAGAAGGUCUUCGGAUUGUAAAGCACUUUAAGUUGGGAGGAAGGGCAGUAAGCUAAUACCUUGCUGUUUUGACGUUACCGACAGAAUAAGCACCGGCUAACUCUGUGCCAGCAGCCGCCGUAAUAC
rnacentral:rRNA from 1 species